rnacentral:tRNA from 3 species
GCGCCUAUAGUGAAAUGGAUAUCACACGAGAUUUCGGCUCUCGGAUUCUGGGUUCGAAUCCUGGUGGGCGCGCCA